GCUCAAAAUCUUGCGAUGGAGGAACACAAACAAGAACCAGAACAUGUUCGAAUCCUUCUCCGGCACAUGGAGGAAGCAGUUGUUUAGGAAUGUCUUCUCAGGUUGUGACUGCGGUCAAUAAAGAACAGCUGGCUGGUACAAGAGCGUUGAUUUCUUGUACUGUUACUGGUCUGACAAGAAAACUGGAUAGUGUGAAAUGGACGACUUCUAACAAAGUAGCUAUAUCUUCUGGUCAAAACAUUGUUUAUGAUGGUGGAUUUGAUAACACAGCUGACGGUUCUCAGACCACGAUUCUGACUGUUCCUGGUUCUCAAAACAACCGCGAUACGAUUUAUCAUUGUUUGAUCACAUCUGCUAGUAUUGAUCGAGUAAACAAAACAAUAGUCGUCAUCUUGAAAACAUUUAAUGUUGCCUCAACUCCCAAGGAUUUGACCACCGCUGUAGACCAGACAUUGACUUGC